GCGGAGGGGAAGGGCUGCGCUCUGAGAACAUGGCGGGCGUGGCGAGGGGAUGGACCCCCGGUAUCUGCGGUCGUUCAGCCGCCUUGGGGCUCCCUCAUCGCCUCCCAGCGCGGGGAGCCUUGGGGAGAGGCCACGCGCAGAGUUCUGGCUGGGUAUGGCCGUCGUGGUGGUGCCACCCAGCGCCCUGAGGAACAGCCGAGCCCGGCGGUGUUGAGGGGUCAGUGCCCCCUCAGAGCCAUGGGAAGGGUUUCAGGUGUAGUGAUCCGCGUAGGUGGUUUGGAAAAAAGUUCUUGGAAGCCAACACGUUAAAAAAAAAAAAUAAAAAUUGGGGAAUGGCCUCUUGAGAGAUAUAAAAUACAAUAUUUCACGUAUUUUUGCAACUUCUUUUUAGUGAUCUUUCCUUAAAGUAAUUUUUAAAGUGUGUAAGUUUCUCCUUUUGAAGAUGCUGUGGGCCCUCAGUUGUCAGUGAGCAUAUUCGGUAACCUUAUUAGUAAUCUUUUUCAUGUGCUCAGAUAUCUUAGAGGUAUUUUUCAACCUAAAUUAUUCUACUUUUGUACUAAUUUGGGAAAAAACUGGGCUAGAGAAUGACUAAAUGAUCAUAGUUCCUCAGGGUUCUUUAAAUCUUUUCCAGCCUUAAAAAAUCCAUAAUUUUUUGAUCUGUUUUAUUUCCCUGACCAGGUUCAUUACUGUCACCUUGAAGGGAAGGCAAGAAAAGCUCUAAAAAGCAUUAAAAUUCCAUUGGAAAGGGAAAUAAUUCCACAGUGCCCCUCCUUUGCUGUGUCCACAUCACAGGAGAGAGGAGUCACACAAGACAGAGGCCACUGAGGUUGUUUGAUGUUAUCAAAGAGCUGCUACAGGAUGGGUUUGAAACAGCUCCACGUCAUGUGGCAAAAUCCUGGAGUCGUCCUUGCCCAUGGAAAGGCCUCGUUCCUCCAAGGACACGGUGACACAAAGGCGAGAACCUGGUGUGCUCCACUCUGCCUCAGACCUUUUACACCCCAAAAUAACCUCACCAAAAAUAACCUCCAACCUGCCUUCCUUGGGAAACGUAACCCAAAAUCUCUAUGUUUACUUUCUUCCACAGGGAUGAAAAGCUGGUGUUUUCAGUCUGUUUUUUUUUUUUUUGCUGUUCCUCAGGUAGCCAAAACGCUGUUGCUGGUGUUGGGUUUGUUACUUUUUUCAAGCUUAGAGUGACUCACACACUUCCAUUUUGAAAAGGACCUGUAAAAAUGGCACCAUAGGGGGCUUUGUUUUUUUGCUUGUCUCUGAGGUUGUACCAGGGCUGGCUGCAGCCACUGAAGAGAACAUGUGCCUAUGUUUGGAAGAAAUUCUGAGAAUCUUUACAGUUGCAUCUCUUUCGCUGUCCCACAGCAAAGGAACAAAAAGAGAGGCAAUCCUGCAGGAAGGACAGCUGGAACACGUGGCUGAGAUGUAACUUCCCUCUGUGUGAAGCUGAUUUUAGGGCUUAGAACCCCUUCAACUUCUUUGACUAAGCUCCCACAUGGUCAGUUAACAAGGAUGGAGAUGUUUCUCCUCCCUACAAGUCCUGCAAAGUUGGAAACUUAGAAUUUAUUUUGCAGGCUUGGAGGGAAAGCGGUGCUUGGUUUAUUUAUCAUCACUGGUUGUGAUCUUUGUUCUUGUUCCACUGCAGUGUCAUGAGAUAAUUAAUACUAAAACACCCCUGCUUGUUAGUUUACAUGUUUCUGAUGCCUUUAAAAUCAGUAAAAAAGGGCUGAUGACAUUGCACAGGGGAAAACAGAAUUUAAUACAUUUGUCUUGCAUCCAGAAUUACUUGGCAAAGCUGAUGGUGCACAGGGGACCCGACUCCAAGACUGAAACCAAGCCUUGCUGAAAUCUGAAAGCACAGAUUGCACCCUGGAUGAAUGUGGGAAGGAGCUGGAUGAAUAAAGAGGAUCCCAGAGAAGAUCCUCUGAAUGAAAAACCAGGAGCAGUUUUUCAUCUGGGCACAGCAUCCUUGUGCAGGAGUGACAGAGUUCAUCAAAGGUUACUAAUUACCAUGUAAAUCAUGAGGUUGUCUGGCUGUCUGGACAGACUUGGGUGGGUGACCUGGGGUAGAAUCAUGGGAUCAUUAAGAUUGGAAAAGACUUCCAAGGUCAAGCCCAACCUUUGACCAAAUACCCCCAUGCCCACUAAACCGUGUCACGAAGUGCCACAUCUACUCAUUUUUUGAACACUUCAAGGGAUUGUGACUCCACCACUUCCCUGGGGAGGCUGUUUCAGAGACUUUCAAGGAUGGAGGAGUGUGAAGAGCUCACAGUGUGCCUUGGCUUGGGAGCGCUUAGGGAAGCACAGAGUCGUGCUCUGCCAAAUGAGUUUGUCAGCCCUGAGCCCACGAUGUCCCUCAGCAUUUGAGCCAUGGCUGCUGGGCAAAGAGGCACAGAGAGAACCCUUCCAGCCCUGGAAAACUCAGCAUCGAGGCAUGGAGAGUUCAUCUUUAGCUGGGGGUGGAUCACAUACUGAGCAGCACAGCCAGGUAACGCAGGACAGGUCACCUUGCACCAACCUGAGCUGCCUCAGGGCACUGCAGGCAGCAGCACAGAACAAGGGGUUAGGCCAGGCUGGACUUGAACUAGACAGGACCUGGACAAGGAGGAGGAAGGACAAGGAGGAAGAAUGAGACUUGGGGAAGGCAAAGAAUGAUUCUGUGGGGGAAACUCUGCAAAUAUGUGCUUCCUUUUGCCGAUAAAGGAGGGUGUGAGGCACUGAGAUGAGCUACCUUGUUUGUCUGCUCUCACACCCUGCCAGGCCCUGGCAGCAGCACUCCCUUAUCUCCAGCACAUUGGUACAUUGAGCUGUGCAGCCUUCCCUAAUCCACCACACUGGGCCUGGGCUGCUCCUCCUUCUCUUUCUCCCUGUUCUAAUGGGAGGAUUAAUUUUUAAAAAAAUUUGGAUACUCUUUCAGCUUUAGCUGGAUAAUUCUCAUGCAUUGCUUAAGCCUUUAGCAGUGUAUGGGGGGCAAUAUUGUCUCUGUCAAGGAAAAUGCCUCCCGUGUGAUAAUGAGGGUGCUUCAGCAGCGUUCCCAUGGGUGGAUUGUGGCACAGAGCUCUUCCUUCCACUGCAGGCAGCUCGGGGGGCAGGUUUCACACCUGCCUCUGCUGUAUUUACACCUCUGUUGUUUGUUAUUUACGUGGUUCGGGCUAUGUAAGUAGCAGCAGUCUCUUGUGCGUGUACCCAGAGGAAUUAAACGAAUUUGCAGAGCAA